GCGGGCGUGGCGGAACUGGUAGACGCGCUGGAUUUAGGUUCCAGUGAGAUUUAUCUCAUGAAGGUUCAAGUCCUUUCGCCCGCACCA
rnacentral:tRNA from 2 species